rnacentral:misc_RNA from 1 species
AACUACCCUCUAUAACGGUGUUGGGGACUACUUGUAGCCCUGAAAUAUAGUGGCGGCCGUUCUAAGCCUUUGCGAAGUACAAUACGCAACAGGGGAUGAAAUCGGUUCUGCCUUAAUCACCACUUUUGA